CUAGCGACUUCAGAGUUUGAUCCUGGCUCAGGAUGAACGCUGGCGGCGUGCCUAACACAUGCAAGUCGAACGAAGCACCGGAGUUCCUCGGAACAAAGGUGACUGAGUGGCGGACGGGUGAGUAACGCGUGGGUAACUUGCCUCACACAGGGGGAUAACAGCUGGAAACGGCUGCUAAUACCGCAUAAGCGCACAGUACCGCAUGGUACGGUGUGAAAAGUUUUUCGGUGUGAGAUGGACCCGCGUCUGAUUAGCUAGUUGGCGGGGUAACGGCCCACCAAGGCGACGAUCAGUAGCCGGCCUGAGAGGGUGGACGGCCACAUUGGGACUGAGACACGGCCCAA
rnacentral:rRNA from 1 species